rnacentral:snoRNA from 1 species
UCAUGGCAUUAAGAAGGGAUACGAUCGUGGGCUGCCUGUGCCCUGGUCAUUGAUAGUGCAGGGAGAGGAACUGCGAAAGCAUUUCCCCGUGUUUGGAGGGUCCAAUCAUGUCCCUUCCAAACCCUGGUGCUUUCGGACA